rnacentral:rRNA from 1 species
UACGUAGGGUGCGAGCGUUGUCCGGAAUUAUUGGGCGUAAAGGGCUCGUAGGCGGUCUGUCACGUCGGGAGUGAAAACUCGGGGCUCAACCCCGAGCCUGCUUCCGAUACGGGCAGACUAGAGGUAUGCAGGGGAGAAUGGAAUUCCUGGUGUAGCGGUGAAAUGCGCAGAUAUCAGGAGGAACACCGGUGGCGAAGGCGGUUCUCUGGGCAUUACCUGACGCUGAGGAGCGAAAGUGUGGGGAGCGAACAGG